CGAAUGCUCUGCCACGGCUAUAUGUAGCGACAUAACAAACGGUGAGCGACGAUGCUGGUUGGUAAGUGACGUUUACUGUGCAUCAGCUGGCGAGCCCGGGUCCAGGCUUGAUGGUGGCCACGCUCCAAAAGAACAGUCAGGCUGCUUUGUUGUUGAAGGAUGCCAGCACAUUUUUGCUAUGGAAAACUACGCUGUAAUAUUGCGAGCCGCGGUGUCUCCGGCCGGUCUUCUGGUGAUCUCUACCACAAAUGCCAUUUGCGCUUCAGACUACCCACCGGCUGACGUUUCGUUUCCUUUAAAAGAGGGCAGUCUGGCUGAGGAUCCGGGAGUAUGUUCGCAAUUGAACAUUGGUCAGUGAACGAAAUUAAGCCAUGAGUACCGUUUGGCUUAGGCACUUGCAGCAUUGCCAACAUACCCGUUCGCAAGGAAUUAAUGCGCAUAAUAACGAUUGUCCUACCGUGAUUUUUUCACUACUCGGACUGGCUUAGCUGGCGUCCGACCUUCUUCUCGACCAUCCUCCGACGACUUCUGUGACUGCAAUAGAAAGACCACGUGUACUGCAACUCCUUUACCAACAAACACCUCGACCUCACAGUGCGAUCAGACGAUAAAUUCACGCCCGGUCGUCUGUCGCUUGA